rnacentral:rRNA from 1 species
CUGGGACUAGCAUAUCAAUAAGCGGAGGAAAAGAAACCAACAGGGAUUGCCCUAGUAACGGCGAGUGAAGCGGCAACAGCUCAAAUUUGAAAUCUGGCCUCGGCCCGAGUUGUAAUUUGCAGAGGAUGCUUCUGGCGCGGUGCCUUCCGAGUUCCCUGGAACGGGACGCCACAGAGGGUGAGAGCCCCGUAUGGUCGGACACCAAGCCUGUGUGAAGCUCCUUCGACGAGUCGAGUAGUUUGGGAAUGCUGCUCUAAAUGGGAGGUAAAUCUCUUCUAAAGCUAAAUACCGGCCAGAGACCGAUAGCGCACAAGUAGAGUGAUCGAAAGAUGAAAAGCACCUUGAAAAGGGGGUUAAAUAGUACGUGAAAUUGUUGAAAGGGAAGCACUUAUGACCAGACUUGGGCCGGGCGGCUCAUCAGGGGUUCUCCCCUGUGCACUCCGCCCGGCACAGGCCAGCAUCGGUUCUCGUGGGGGGAUAAGACCGUCAGGAACGUAGCACCCUCCGGGGUGUGUUAUAGCCUGGCGGACGAUACCCCCGUGGGGACCGAGGUCCGCGCAUUGCAAGGAUGCUGGCGUAAUGGUCAUCAGUGACCCGUCUUGAAACACGGACCAAGGAGUCGUCCAUUAGAGCGAGCGUUUGGGUGUAAAACCCGCACGCGUAAUGAAAGUGAACGCAGGUGAGAGCUUCGGCGCAUCAUCGACCGAUCCUGAUGUUCUCGGAAGGAUUUGAGUAAGAGUUUUAACGGACGGACCCGAAAGACAGUGAACUAUGCUUGAAUAGGGUGAAGCCAGAGGAAACUCUGGUGGAGGCUCGCAGCGGUUCUGACGUGCAAAUCGAUCGUCAAAUUUGAGCAUGGGGGCGAAAGACUAAUCGAACUGUCUAGUAGCUGGUUACCGCCGAGC